rnacentral:rRNA from 1 species
GAUCCUGGCUCAGGAUGAACGCUAGCUACAGGCUUGACACAUGCAAGUCGAGGGGAAACGACAUCGAAAGCUUGCUUUUGAUGGGCGUCGACCGGCGCACGGGUGAGCAACGCGUAUCCAACCUGCCCAUCACUUGGGAAUAACCUUGCGAAAGUAAGACUAAUGCCCAAUGAUAUCCCACGAAGGCAUCCGAAUGGGAUUAAAGAUUUAUCGGUGAUGGAUGGGGAUGCGU